AUUCUUUAUAAUACCUUUAUUGAGAUAUAACUCACAUACCAUACAAUUCACCUAUUUAAAGUGUCCAAUUCAGUGAGUUUUAGUAUAUUUGUACAGU